AUUCGAUUCCCUUAGUAGCGGCGAGCGAAACGGGAAGAGCCCAAACCAACAAGCUUGCUUGUUGGGGUUGUAGGACACUCUAUACGGAGUUAUAAAGGACGACAUUAGACGAAUCAUCUGGAAAGAUGAAUCAAAGAAGGUAAUAAUCCUGUAGUCGAAAAUGUUGUCUCUCUUGAGUGGAUCCUGAGUACGACGGAGCACGUGAAAUUCCGUCGGAAUCUGGGAGGACCAUCUCCUAAGGCUAAAUACUCUCUAGUGACCGAUAGUGAACCAGUACCGUGAGGGAAAGGUGAAAAGCACCCCGGAAGGGGAGUGAAAUAGAACCUGAAACCGUGUGCUUACAAGUAGUCAGAGCCCGUUAAUGGGUGAUGGCGUGCCUUUUGUAGAAUGAACCGGCGAGUUACGAUUUGAUGCAAGGUUAAGCAGUAAAUGUGGAGCCGUAGCGAAAGCGAGUCUGAAUAGGGCGUUUAGUAUUUGGUCGUAGACCCGAAACCAGGUGAUCUACCCUUGGUCAGGUUGAAGUUCAGGUAACACUGAAUGGAGGACCGAACCGACUUACGUUGAAAAGUGAGCGGAUGAACUGAGGGUAGCGGAGAAAUUCCAAUCGAACCUGGAGAUAGCUGGUUCUCUCCGAAAUAGCUUUAGGGCUAGCCUCAAGUGAUGAUUAUUGGAGGUAGAGCACUGUUUGGACGAGGGGCCCCUCUCGGGUUACCGAAUUCAGACAAACUCCGAAUGCCAAUUAAUUUAACUUGGGAGUCAGAACAUGGGUGAUAAGGUCCGUGUUCGAAAGGGAAACAGCCCAGACCACCAGCUAAGGUCCCAAAAUAUAUGUUAAGUGGAAAAGGAUGUGGCGUUGCCCAGACAACUAGGAUGUUGGCUUAGAAGCAGCCAUCAUUUAAAGAGUGCGUAAUAGCUCACUAGUCGAGUGACACUGCGCCGAAAAUGUACCGGGGCUAAACAUAUUACCGAAGCUGUGGAUUGUCCUUUGGACAAUGGUAGGAGAGCGUUCUAAGGGCGUUGAAGCAUGAUCGUAAGGACAUGUGGAGCGCUUAGAAGUGAGAAUGCCGGUGUGAGUAGCGAAAGACGGGUGAGAAUCCCGUCCACCGAUUGACUAAGGUUUCCAGAGGAAGGCUCGUCCGCUCUGGGUUAGUCGGGUCCUAAGCUGAGGCCGACAGGCGUAGGCGAUGGAUAACAGGUUGAUAUUCCUGUACCACCUAUAAUCGUUUUAAUCGAUGGGGGGACGCAGUAGGAUAGGCGAAGCGUGCGAUUGGAUUGCACGUCUAAGCAGUAAGGCUGAGUAUUAGGCAAAUCCGGUACUCGUUAAGGCUGAGCUGUGAUGGGGAGAAGACAUUGUGUCUUCGAGUCGUUGAUUUCACACUGCCGAGAAAAGCCUCUAGAUAGAAAAUAGGUGCCCGUACCGCAAACCGACACAGGUAGUCAAGAUGAGAAUUCUAAGGUGAGCGAGCGAACUCUCGUUAAGGAACUCGGCAAAAUGACCCCGUAACUUCGGGAGAAGGGGUGCUCUUUAGGGUUAACGCCCAGAAGAGCCGCAGUGAAUAGGCCCAAGCGACUGUUUAUCAAAAACACAGGUCUCUGCUAAACCGUAAGGUGAUGUAUAGGGGCUGACGCCUGCCCGGUGCUGGAAGGUUAAGAGGAGUGGUUAGCUUCUGCGAAGCUACGAAUCGAAGCCCCAGUAAACGGCGGCCGUAACUAUAACGGUCCUAAGGUAGCGAAAUUCCUUGUCGGGUAAGUUCCGACCCGCACGAAAGGCGUAACGAUUUGGGCACUGUCUCAACGAGAGACUCGGUGAAAUCAUAGUACCUGUGAAGAUGCAGGUUACCCGCGACAGGACGGAAAGACCCCGUGGAGCUUUACUGUAGCCUGAUAUUGAAAUUCGGCACAGCUUGUACAGGAUAGGUAGGAGCCUUUGAAACGUGAGCGCUAGCUUACGUGGAGGCGCUGGUGGGAUACUACCCUAGCUGUGUUGGCUUUCUAACCCGCACCACUUAUCGUGGUGGGAGACAGUGUCAGGCGGGCAGUUUGACUGGGGCGGUCGCCUCCUAAAAGGUAACGGAGGCGCUCAAAGGUUCCCUCAGAAUGGUUGGAAAUCAUUCAUAGAGUGUAAAGGCAUAAGGGAGCUUGACUGCGAGACCUACAAGUCGAGCAGGGUCGAAAGACGGACUUAGUGAUCCGGUGGUUCCGCAUGGAAGGGCCAUCGCUCAACGGAUAAAAGCUACCCCGGGGAUAACAGGCUUAUCUCCCCCAAGAGUUCACAUCGACGGGGAGGUUUGGCACCUCGAUGUCGGCUCAUCGCAUCCUGGGGCUGUAGUCGGUCCCAAGGGUUGGGCUGUUCGCCCAUUAAAGCGGUACGCGAGCUGGGUUCAGAACGUCGUGAGACAGUUCGGUCCCUAUCCGUCGUGGGCGUAGGAAAUUUGAGAGGAGCUGUCCUUAGUACGAGAGGACCGGGAUGGACAUACCUCUGGUGUACCAGUUGUCGUGCCAACGGCAUAGCUGGGUAGCUAUGUGUGGACGGGAUAAGUGCUGAAAGCAUCUAAGCAUGAAGCCCCCCUCAAGAUGAGAUUUCCCAACUUCGGUUAUAAGAUCCCUCAAAGAUGAUGAGGUUAAUAGGUUCGAGGUGGAAGCAUGGUGACAUGUGGAGCUGACGAAUACUAAUCGAUCGAAGACUUAAUCAA
rnacentral:rRNA from 1 species